CAAGUAUUUCCGGAUCCGCUUCCUGGGUCUCCGGGGUGAGCUCCUGCCCGCUUACCUGCAGGCAGCUUCAAAGAGCUCCGGAUGCUUCUCCUUAGAGAGUGGUUUCAAGUAAGUUGUCGGUUUACAAGGUGUCGAUGUUCAAAGGUGAAAAAACAAUCGAGAUAAUAAGUAAUAGAAAAUUCUGGAUAAGUCUCAGUAUGCUUUCUUAUUCUGGUGCCAAGCAUGUGCGUGUAGCUAAAGGGUUCCUCAAGAAAUGGUUGCAUGGUUACCGGAACAGUGUCAUUGGAAUUGACAAAAUAAGUAGUGGGAAUGGGAGGAAUAUCAGCUAGUGUGGUUUCAGUUGCAAGUAACAGAAAACCCAAGAAAACUAUGUUCAAAAGUAGGGCAGGUAAAGGUUGGUUAAUCCAGUUUGUCAGUGACACCAAGGUCCCAAUGCCUCCAUGUUUCUCCUCUGCCAUUCUUGGCAUGUUGGCGGAGGUGACAAUGGAAUCCACAUAAUACAUGCAGAUGUGCAGUGUACCAGGUACCUACCCAUCCUAAACCAGUCAUUCUCAAGAGCAAAAAGACUAUAGCUAUCGUAAUUGAUUUUGAUCAACCGCCUAGCACUGGUGGAAGGACCCACCUUCCCCUGGCCUUUGACCCUCACAAAAUCAUGGCUCCGUUGGAAAAGAAAGAGAAAGCAGUAGAACAGAUGUCGAAUAG